rnacentral:lncRNA from 1 species
AGAAGAUCUGAGUUUUAAUCCUAUUUCCCAGCCAUGUGAGCUGGUGCCUCAGUCAGCCUCAUCUCUAUGCUGGAGUUAAUCACAAAAGCCGUCUCGACCACCCUCCGCAGAAAAGGUAAAGAGAGGGACAGCUGCUGCGCGGUGCCACUCGCCCGUAGACCAGGGAGGCCCAUGCUCUCUGGGGCUCUCGCUCACAACCCAGACCCCCAAAGCAGCCAUCCAGCUACAGCUGGGACCAUGCCAGCGUCUUCCACCUCUCCUGUCUCCCCUGGGGCUGGGCAGCCUUGGCUUUCAGCGUAGUGGGGGAGAGAGGGAGGAAGGGCCACUCCAUCAGCAAAUCCCACAUAACAGCCUAAAUCUGGGCUUUUGGGGGAAUUCAGGAGGUCACAUGUUGGGUGGGGUGGUCAGGCCCUGGCAGGGGAAAGGAGGGUGAGGGGCAGCUCUUUAGGGUCUCCUGCAGGGCAGACUCAUUGGGUGGCCCCUUGGUGACUCACAGCUUUUGGGAAAUAGCUGGUCACACUGGGAUCUGUCCUCGGGGGCCCGCCUCGGGCUGUGAUGAUGGUCUGUGCCUGGGAUCAGGGCUUGGGUGGGGUGCAGGAAGGCUGGUUGACCUUCAGGGGAUGGACGGACUGCCAGGGACCUUAUGUCUGUUAGCCUGAGCUUUGGAGUUUGGGGAAAUGGCUCAGGUCAGGACCCAGGGCUUCUGGUGGCCUCUGCUUUUCGGGGAGGCGAGGGGGGUACUAGGGAGGCUGAGGGGGCUGCUUUUCUUUUCCUUUUUCUUUUUCUUUGUUUUGAGACAGGGUCUUGCUCUGUCACCCAGGCUGCUGUGCAGUGGCACCAUCGUAGCUCACUGCAGCCUGGACCUUCUGGGCUCAAGCAAUCCUCCCACCUCAGCCUCCCGAGUAGCUGGGACUACAGGUGCACACCACCAUGCCUGGCUAAAUUUUUUUGUAGAGACGAGGGCCUUACUAUGAUGCCCAGGCUGGUCUCAAACUCCUGGCCUCAAGCCAUCCUCCUGCCUCAGUCUCCCAAAGCAAUGGGAUUAUAGGCAUGAGCCACUGCGUCCUGGCUGCUUUCUUCCUAUAGAGUCCCUGUUUCCCUCCUUGCUCUCACCUGGGAGCACGCCACCUGGGUAUACACCUGGCAGCCCCACACCUGUGGCCAAAAGAAAGCAAAGUUACUAGCAGCAGCUCAGCCUCCAGGGACCCCUCCCCAGCCCUUCCCACCCAGGCAGCUCCAAGGCCCUCAAACCCACAGCCUCUGUGCCCGACAGGGGCAGCCAGGGACAGACGUGGGGUGGCCACAACCCUCCUCCCACGAGUUUCGGAAGUCAUCUGCAAACUCUUCGGUGUGUGGAUUUAUCUCCGUCUCCUGGAGCCUGUUUACAUGGCUGGGCCAGCCCACCUCUGGCUAACAGCUUCCAGAUGUCCCUCCCUGCUGCGUAGACUCAGGCAGUCUUUUGUUUAACCUGAAGUCACUUCCUAAAGGGCUUGGUGGGGCAGAACGAGUACCAGAUGGGGAGUCAGAGGACACGGGGCUCCCCCAGCUCUGCCGGGACUCGCUGCAGGCCCUUCCACACUGACUCGCCUCUUUGAGCCUCAGUUUCCCCAUCUGUCGCCCGACAGCCUGCCACAGAGCCCGUCUCUUUCUACCCCAAGAUCCCGGGAGAAGGGCCCGGGAAGUGGGCCAGGCCCCUCCUCCCCAUUUCACAGACGCAGGCACCAGCCUGGCUAGUUUCUCUGCCCGACUGAAGCCAGGCCCUGCCCUUCCUCCCCAAGUGCAGUGGCAUGGAGAGGGCUCUGUUCCUCCCUGCCCUCUGCCCCUCCCUGCCCUCUGUCCUCCAGCCCCAGGGAUUCCGCACUGACCCGGCACUUUCCCAGGCUUCACUCCGGCUCCAGGCUGAGGAACCACCGCACCUGGCACAGAAGGGGCUGCAUCAGAGUUGGCUCCACCCAGGCCUGCAACUUUGACCCAGGGAGUUCGGGGAUAGCCAUCGUACCUGCAGACACUCCUAAGCCACCAACUCCUGGGACACCACCAAGCCCAGCGCCUGCAGAGCCAGGACAGGUGAGGCAUUGCGUAAGGAACAGUGGGGAGGCAGAAGGGCCCGGGGCUGCAUGCUGAGGGCCCAGCAUUGAGGUCUGGCCCCGUUACUAACUCACCUUCAGACUGGGCACAGCUAGCUGCCUCCCUGAGCCCCAGUAGAUUGCAACUGACAAUCCCACCCACCCGGCUCCCAAGCCUGAGUUGAGGGAAGGUUCUUUGCAAAGCGGAGGGCCCCACGGAAGCCAGAGGGCUUGUGGCAUGUCCCAAAGAGCACCACUCACCAGCCUUAGCAGCUUUAUAGGCUGCAGCAGCGUCAGCCACUCCACCAGGCACCAGAGCCCCCGGAAAGGUAACUGCGGGGAAGGCGCCGAGCCCUGCGGAGGGGAGGAUGGGGUGAGGUCCUGAGCUACCACACCUAUGAAGACUCCUACGCUCUGGCCCUGCCUGGCUGUGCCCCACUCAGGAAGCACAUUGGAGGCUCUUCCGCUCUCUGCCAGACAUCAAUGCCUGCAGGACAUCCAUGUGAGCACUGCUCACCGGUAAUGGAUUUUUUUUUUUUUGACACAAGGUCUCACUCUGUCACCCAGGCUGGAGUGCAGUGGUGCGAUCUUGGCUCACUGCAGCCUCAACCACCCAGGCUCAAGCAAUCCUCCCGCCUCAGCCUUCCAAGUAGGUGGAACUACAGGUGCAUGCCACUGUGCCCGGCAAAUUUUUUUUUUUUUGUAUUUUUUGUAGUGACAAGAUUUUACCAUGUUGCCCAGGCUGGUCUCGAACUCCUGGGCUCAAGCCAUCUGCCCGUCUCAGCCUCCCAAAGUGCUAGGAUUACAGGCGUGAGCCACCGCGCCUAAGUACCAGAACUAGAUUGUGUGCCGAGGUUAAUGUGUUAGACAGCUCUGACAAAACUGCAUGGCUCUUUUUUUUUUUUUCCCUUUAGAGAUGGGGUCUUGUGGCUGGGCACGGUGGCUUGAGCCUGUCAUCCCAGCACUUUGGGAGGCCGAGGUGAGUGGAUCACUUGAGGCCAGGAGUUCGAGACCAGCCUGGCCAACAUGGUGAAACCCCGUCUCUACUAAGAAUACAAAAAUUAGCCGAGCGUGGUGGUGCACACUGGUAAUUCCAGCUAUUUGGGAGGCUGAGACACAAGAAUCACUUGAACCGGGGAGGUGGAGGUUGUGGUGAGCUGAGAUCAACUGCACCAGGUGCGGGGAGCUGAGACUGAGCCACUGCACUCCAGCCUGGGUGACAGAGUGGGACUCUGUCUCAACAACAACAAGAACAACAAAAGAGAUGAGGUCUUUCUCUGUCGCCCAGGCUGGAGUGCAGUGACAUGAUCAUAGCUCUCUGAAGCCUCAGCCUCCUGGGCUCAAGGGAUCCUCUCACUUCAGCCUUCCUGAAAACUGCAUGGAUCUUUUGGGGUCAAAUUUCCCCACCCACCUCCUCUAGAAUGCCUUCCUGAACCCCUGCUGAGUUAAGCGACUCCCUUGGGCUUCCUUGGUCCAUGGGGCUUCCUCCAUGCAGCCUUCACUACUAUGUUAUAAAGGAACCCAGGUACUCAGCUGUGAUUUCCUCAUGUCCUGGGCAGCUGCUUGGGGCAGUUGGUAUCAGCAUCAGUCCCCGUCAGUGCCCAGGACGGAACCUGGCCUGCACCCUUGUUCCAUGACCGUGCUGCAUACCAGCCCUGGGUUGAGCUCAGGGGCUGGUCCCCACAGGGGAUAUCUUUCUUGGGUGUCAGCACUCACCUGCCCCAAGGCCAGCACCCGCAAGCCCUCCGGGAACUGUGGAUAAGAAACAGAGACAGGAGUGUAGGCAGUGUUCCUAGGCCCAGAGUGGGAAAUGUCUCCUGGAGUUAGGGCAGUGCUGUGAUCAGCCACUCAGGUCCCUAGGCUGGUCCCUAAGCCUGUGAUGCUCAGGGUCGAUCCUGAUAAAAUAGCAUCCACCAGUAGUUUAGUGAGCGACUACUAUGUGCAGUGCAGGUGUCAUUGCACCGAUCCCUAACAAGCCUGGGCCAGGCCUGUGCUUCUCCUAGAAGCCCUGCUGGCUAACAAGAUUCAGCAGGGCUUUCAGCAAGGGCUGGGACAGAGCAGAGUCCGUGAGCGAGACCUCACCCCAGGCCAGUGAGGUCUCUCUUCUGCUUCCUUGCAGAUAUCUCUUGACUCAGUCCCCUCCCCUUCACCUGCAUCGGGGAACUCCUGUGUCCCCACUACCCAUCUGUCCUUCCAUCCAGCCUGCCCUGCAGCCCAGGAGCCUCCUACUAAGAUGUUUAUGAGACGCCAAAUGGGUCCCUCUGGCUCUCUCCUCCCCACAUCUGGGCCCAAUCGCUUCGUCUCCCACUGCGGGAGACAUUCCACUGCCUUGGCCAGGACCAAUGGGCCAUCAGGUCAGAGUUCACAACCAUGCCAGGUUUGUUUCUAAUUAUGUGACGAUCUCUCCUACAAGUGCUAGUCCUGAGCCUCAGGGGUGAGUCCUCUCCAGGGAUGGAUCCCAAACAUGGAGCCUGCUGUACCCUGGAGAGGUCCCCCCUGGCUUUCCCUGGGUGUGGUCUCCGUUACUAACCACUCCUCGUCCCUCAUUUCCUACUAGUGGGAGCUGGACCCCUCUGAAACUCAGCCAGCCUCAUGUAAGAAGCAUCUUUGCCUCCGGGCGGGAGUGCCUGGCGAUCAGGCAGGAGUCACUUCCCAGCACCCGGGCCAGACCCACCUGCGCUGGCAGUCGCUUCUCUCAAGCCAGGCAUGUUUCCUGAGCUCUGAGAGGGCAAGGGACAUGCUCAGACCUUUCCUGUCCACAGAGGGGCUGGGAGGGGAAGCUGAGGACUGCACAGGAAGUGAGAAGAGGCUGGGGCUGCAGUGGGGGGCAGGCAGCUUCUCUGGGGCCAUCUUCCUUUUUCCCAUGAUCCCAGCCUGAGCAUCCUGUCAUGUGGCCUGACCACUUCUGUCUCUGCCUGCCCUCCUUCCUUUGCACUCACCUGCCCCAAAUGCCCCAAGGAUUCUAGCAUCUGGAAAGGAGGAGAAAGCGGGGAGGGGCUGACCACAGCUGGGAGUCCAGGGACCUGGCCAGCUCCAUCCUCCUUCUUUCUAGAGUCAGAGAGUUCUAGAUUCAGACCCUGCUGCUGCUACCCAGCCUCCAUGAGCACAAGCAGGUCAAUUUGCCUCUCCGAUGAGGCUUAGUUUUUGCCAUCUACAAAAUGGCCAUUAUAUCACCUGCCUUGCUGGGACCAGUGAGCAUGUGUGCAGAAAGCACCUAGUUGUGCAACCUACCCAGGGCACACAGUGGGUGCUCCCAGUUCCUUCUUGUCCAUGCCCGUGCCCCUCUCAGUGGGCGGCUGGCCUCUGGCUAGUGCUCAGGGUGUUGGGUGUGCAGGCUUCCAGCUGCCUGGUCCCCCGCUGAGAGCUGAGGCAGGGCAGGGCCAGCUUGGACCUGUGGUGGCGCCCACGUGGAAAAGCAGCUGCCAGGCCACCCACCCUCUGUCACCAAGGGAUUAAUUGUUCCCAAGCAUGACACGCGCUGCCUGUGCUCCAUUCCAUCCUGCCUGGGCAGGCCCAGACGUCCUGGCAGCCCGGAUGUGGGGGCCUCCCUGGGGGUGCCAUGGGGGCUCUGCCGACCCUUCUGUAGCCCUGAGUCUUCGGGGAGGUCAUGGAAUCCAGCCCCUUGCCUGGAAACACUGCCCUUUUUAUCAGAAGGAGAUGCUCUGACUUUCCUUUGGAUUGACUCCUUCACCCUGAGCUGGAAGUUCUUUCAGAAGUCUAACCUAAAUCUUUCAUUAACAAAAGCUUCACUUUUGCAACUACACAUCCUGGAACUUCGUAGGGAGUUGUCUGUCUUUCCUCUGGUGUUUAACCACAACCUGCUAUGUGUCUCUUGCUCCUAGUGGGAUCAAUGAAUGUACCCUCCAGCUUUGCAGGCACAACCUCCUCAAUUUGGGUCUUCUAGGCCAAGCACAGACCUACCUCCACACCUCUGCACCACUAUCAUCUCCCCUGUCCUCUCUUCACCGUCAAAGACCCUGCUAAGAACCCUCACCUGCUCCAGGAAGACAGGGUAUAGGUGCUGGCGGGGAUAAGUGGCAAGCUCCCAGGGUCUCCUGGCCUUGCAGAGCCCUGUAGACCCCAGGCACCCCGUUCUCCCGCCUCUCCUGGCUCCAGCCCUGGUGUUUCACAACCCAGAUGGACUUUUAGCGCAGGGGAAUCUGGGUCUUGAAGAUUCAUUUGCACUUGGAUUAUCAACUAUCAGGAUUUCAUAAGAGCUCUUGGACAUCUAAACUGUGUCCUGGAGACUUGGGCUUCUGAGCCAGGGCAACACAGCUCAGGGUGUGGGGCGGCCAAAGUCACAUGUGGAGCGUCUCAUGCCGAGGGACCAUCAAUCUGGACAGAGACGCUGUUUCCUCCACCUGCUCCUUAUCCGCCAGUAUUUCCCGGAGGGACCUGCCCCACCUUCCUUCCUGGGGGUGCAUUCCCCAGAGCUGAGAGUGGACCCUCGUGGCAGAUCCCAGCCCCUUGGGCGAGGCCAGGAUAGAUCCGGCCACACCUUCUUACUGGAAAACUCCGUGGUCUGGACACAGCUGGAAAGGGCCUGAGAUUAGGAGGGGAGCUUAUCCGGGGCCAUGGUCGGUGCUCAGCUUGGGCUUGGGGUCAGGGCUUGGCCUAAGGCCAGGAUUGGGGGUCCUGUGGGACCAGGGUCAGCAGGGUCAGGGUUCAGCCUGGGAUUAGGCUCAGGGCUUGGGCUGGGGUUAAGCUUUGGCUUGAGACCAGUGCUCCAUCUGGAGUCAGGAGAAGGGCUCAGAAUGGCAUCAAGGUCAGGGUGAUCUGGGGUAUUGGUCUGGGGUCAAGGGCUAGGGGACCACUCAGGGGAAGUCUGGGGCUGAGGAUCUGUGUCUGAGCUCCCGAGGGUCAUGUAAGGCUUGGAGGCCACUGGAACCGGAGCAAUCCCUGAUGUUGCCUCUAACAGCCUCUCCUUUGCAGAGAGGAGUCUCUGGACAGCUGGGUGAACACACAUGCACAUGUAGGGUAGAUGCUAGACGCCCUCACACAGGGAGGACAUGGAGCUGCUUCCAGCCUCUUGUUCCUGGAAGCCCUGGGACCUGGCCCCGGCCUACUCAUCCUUGGGAGGCUAAUCGGUGUCCACACCUCCCUCCUUCCUCCUGCCCGUUGGCUUCCUUGUCCUGUUCCUAGUUUCCUUGUCCCAUUCCCAGCUGGGUAGGCUCCUCCCUCCCCAGCUCCCUCGCUGUCUCUCAAUGCUCCGAGGCCUUGGGUCUUACCUGGCUUAAGAGGUUUGCCUCCAGGCCCCAGCGCUGCAGAGGGAAGAGAAGAUAGUGAAUGGGGUGGCCCAGCUUAUCCAUCUACUACUUAUCCAACCCCCAACCCGGGCAAAGUGUGGGCAGUGUGGAAUCACACACCCCAGGUCCUCCCGCUCAGACUUGGAGCCCCUGGGAACCUAGCUCUACUUCUAACUCGUGGUUUAUACUCUCUGAGUCCCAGAGUCUCAGCCUCAAAAGGGGAUGAUGGGCUGGGGGUGGUGGCUCACGCCUGUAAUCCUAGCACUUUGGGAAGCUGAGGCAGGCGGAUCAUCUGAGGUCAGGAGUUUGAGACCAGCCUGGCAAACAUGGUGAAACC